rnacentral:rRNA from 1 species
AUUGAACGCUGGCGGCAUGCUUUACACAUGCAAGUCGAACGGCAGCGCGGGGCAACCUGGCGGCGAGUGGCGAACGGGUGAGUAAUAUAUCGGAACGUACCCAAGAGUGGGGGAUAACGUAGCGAAAGUUACGCUAAUACCGCAUACGAUCUAUGGAUGAAAGCAGGGGAUCUUCGGACCUUGUGCUCCUGGAGCGGCCGAUAUCUGAUUAGCUAGUUGGUGAGGUAAAGGCUCACCAAGGCGACGAUCAGUAGCUGGUCUGAGGGGACGACCAGCCACACUGGAAGUGAGACACGGUCCAGACUCCUACGGGAGGCAGCAGUGGGGAAUUUUGGACAAUGGGCGCAAGCCUGAUCCAGCAAUGCCGCGUGAGUGAAGAAGGCCUUCGGGUUGUAAAGCUCUUUUGUCAGGGAAGAAACGGCUGAGGCUAAUAUCCUCGGCUAAUGACGGUACCUGAAGAAUAAGCACCGGCUAACUACGUGCCAGCCGCCGCCGUAA